CACAUGCGUGUGUUAAUUGGUCUUUGUUGAUAAACACACACGCGGUAGAUUCCUGUGUCAACACUGCGGCCGGGCGCCGCUGGAGGAAGCGUGAUGGGGCGAUAAGCAGGAGGCGCUCCAUGUGCCCGGAGCCCGCAAAGCGCGGCCGCCCGCCGACGGCUCUCUCCCGCCGUGCUCCAUCUACGUUAUGCCGUCCUGCUACUUACACACGAACACUAGACGGGCCUCCCGACGUCCAGGCCGAGGGGUGAGGGACACAAUUCAACCGGUACCAUCAGCCAGCCCACCUCCAGCUCUGCCCCGCAUCAGAGGUCGCUCGCUUAUGCCCACCUUCAGAUCCUCUCGUCUUCGCCUGCUGGUCCAGUGGCCACCGCAGCACCCAGCUCUGCAAGGUUCUGACCGACUUCCUGCAGGUGUGACCUGGUGCCACAUCAUCUUAUACACUCACCGCACACCUUCUCACCCCUCCCCGGAGCUGCUCUGUUCAGGAGAGAGAGUCUGUCCUGAGACUUACACAGAAGAUCAAGUAAUCCGCUGCCUUUGAAAAACAGCCAGUUCAGUAACACGACUUCGAAUUGGCUCUCUCUCCCUCCCCGUCUCACUCCCCAUGUCCUCACUUCAUUCUCCAAUAAAGGAAAAGCCCAUAAGCCUCUGCCUCAGCUUCUCUUUACGGGAACCCAGGCCAGCUCAGCCACACUGAUCUCUCUAAAUGAAACCUGGCCAUGCCAUUCCCCUGCUUAAGGACCUCCAUGGUCCCUCCAUUACUCAUAAAGUUCAAACUGUCUAGCUGAAAGCCAGAUGGCAGCUUGGAGGUCAUCUGGUCAACAUUUUCCCUGCUGUAAUAUUCCAAGUCAUGGACUUUGGAAUUCAUCAGAUUCGGUUUCAAAUCUGGCUCUUUUUGAAAAUCUGGAUAAAGUUUUUUCCCCCUCCAUUCACUUCUUAUCUACCCAAUCUGAAGGUUGAAGAGGCAAUGCCUAUAGCGUGUCUAGCGCAGUGUUUGGGGCACUAAAUACGUAGUAGCCAGUAUUGUUACAGACGCAGAAUCAGAAACCAAGAUGCAGAAGGGGCCUCUGAGGAUAACACAGCCAGCUAGCAACAGCUUUACUACACAUGGAACCAAAAUCCUAUAAAACCCAAUGCCUACACCCCACAAAUAAGAGGGAAAUAUCACUCCCUUCAGAUUAACUUAAAAAGUUUUUAAAUGUAUUCACUCUUCAGAUACUUCUUUUGCACCUCCCCUAUGCAGAGAGUCCUCCAGGAGUCAAACCGUGAAUAAAACACACAAGGUCCUUGCCUUCAUGGGGUUUGCAUCCUAAUGGGGAAAUAAGGCACCACACAACAAAGCAAUAAAUGCAUGUAAGCGUGUCAUGGGGUGCCGAGUCCUAUGGCAUAAAGUAGGCAUGCGGGGCGAGGAGGUUGUAUUUUCAUAGCGUGGCUGGGGAAUUAAUCUUCUGAAAAAGGUUCACUUAAGGUGAAGGGAACAAGGGCGUGAAAAUGUGGAUAUCAGAGGGUAGCGUCGGGGUAGGAAGUACAAAGGACUGAAGUAAGAGCAAUUUGAGAGUGCUCCAGAGACAGCAGGAGGCUAGCGCUGCUGAAGGAGGUGGAAGAGGGGAAGGGUGGUGGCCAGUGAGGUCAGAGACAAGCAGAUGGCCAACUCGGGCAGGCCCUGGAGGAGGGAUGUGGCUCUUAGAGUGAUGGAAAACCAGUAAAGGGUUCUGAACAGAGCGUUUAAAGGACUGCUCUGCCCGAGUGAAACCCUCAGAGACAAGGCCACCGCAAUCAUCUUGGAGAGAGGGUGGUGAUGGCCUGGACCGGGGGGCAGAGCCCGGGAAGGUCAUUCUCGAUACAUUUUGAAGGCAGAGUUUAGAGAACUCACUGGAGGGCUGUAAGCGGAAUUGGACCUCAAAUGGUACAUUCUGAGAGUAAGUGAAGGAAAAGGAAUGAUAAAACUUUCUAUGAGAAAUGCUUGUUCCCCAGUCAUGGAGAUUAAAUGUGCAGACGUUUGGCAGUGACGUGAUGGAUAAGCUCUGGGUAUCAAAAAAGCUGUGCCCACGGGCCUUGGACAGCUGUGGUGACUUAUACUUAUCCUUAACUCUUUAUAUCUGUUAUCCUUAAGUAUUUAUGCACUUGGAGGGUUUCCAACACAUCUUCAUUUGCCUAGCAGCUACAAUGUGUGAUGUGGUUCCCAAUGGGGAUACAGGCGCAAACAAAAACUCAGCAUCCUUGGGAAGCUUCCUUUGGAAGCUGGAUGUACAAACCUGAGAGCAGGCUGGAGAGUCACAUCUGAGAGCAUUAGACGCAUAAACAGUGAUGUUGAAAGCCAGGAAGCUGGGUGAGGCCACCUAGGGAACUAGAGGUGGGCCUCCCUGUCUCUCGGGCGGGGGGGGGGGGACAUGCCAGUAUUCCGAGGGCAGGGACACCAGGUCCAAGAAGGAACCUGAGAAGGACGGUCCAGCAGAACCAUGAGUGGGGUGUCCCGGAAAAGCCACAUGCAGAAAGAGACUCGAGGAGAAGGGAUUGAUCGACCAGCUGCCAAACAUUGCUAAUUGGCCACAAAAGACAAAACUGAGAACUGACCGUGGGAUCUGGCGACAUGGGGAGGUCACUGGUGGCCUUGGCAAGAGCUGUUUGGAUGGACAGGUGAGCACAAAAGAGCAUGGGAGGAGAGCAGCAGAGACUUCAAGAUCAGACAAGCCUUUGGGGGAGCUCUGGGCAAAGGAGAGGCCAGAAGUGAGGAUGCUGGACGCUCAGGAGGGGAGCGGGCACAGGGUCGCGAACAGCAGAGGUCUGCUCUUUCAUGGCGACCCCUCAACAGCGGCCGGGCUACAGCAAAACAGGCACAAGCCGCUGAGCACAAACCAUUCCAGCCUCUUUGGAAGUCAGUUUCACAGUACGCGUCAGGAGCCUUGAAAAAUGUCCACGGCCU
rnacentral:lncRNA from 1 species